rnacentral:rRNA from 1 species
AGUGAACGCUGGCGGUAGGCCUAACACAUGCAAGUCGAACGGCAGCACAGUAAGAGCUUGCUCUUACGGGUGGCGAGUGGCGGACGGGUGAGGAAUACAUCGGAAUCUACUUUUUCGUGGGGGAUAACGUAGGGAAACUUACUCUAAUACCGCAUACGACCUACGGGUGAAAGCAGGGGAUCUUCGGACCUUUCGCGAUUGAAUGAGCCGAUGUCGGAUUAGCUAGUUGGCGGGGUAAAGGCCCACCAAGGCGACGAUCCGUAGCUGGUCUGAGAGGAUGAUCAGCCACACUGGAACUGAGACACGGACCAGACUCCUACGGGAGGCAGCAGUGGGGAAUAUUGGACAAUGGGCGCAAGCAUGAUCCAGCAAUACCGCGUGGGUGAAGAAGGCCUUCGGGUUGUAAAGCCCUUUUGUUGGGAAAGAAAAGCAGCAGGUUAAUACCACGCUGUUGUGACGGUACCCAAAGAAUAAGCACCGGCUAACUUCGUG